GGGUUGUGAGGUUAAGCGACUAAGCGUACACGGUGGAUGCCCUGGCAGUCAGAGGCGAUGAAGGGCGUGCUAAUCUGCGAUAAGCGCCGGUAAGGUGAUAUGAACCGUUAUAACCGGCGAUACCCGAAUGGGGAAACCCAGUGUGAUUCGUCACACUAUCAUUAACUGAAUCCAUAGGUUAAUGAGGCGAACCGGGGGAACUGAAACAUCUAAGUACCCCGAGGAAAAGAAAUCAACCGAGAUUCCCCCAGUAGCGGCGAGCGAACGGGGAGGAGCCCAGAGCCUGAAUCAGCAUGUGUGUUAGUGGAAGCGUCUGGAAAGGCGCGCGAUACAGGGUGACAGCCCCGUACACAAAAGCGCAUGUGCUGUGAGCUCGAUGAGUAGGGCGGGACACGUGGUAUCCUGUCUGAAUAUGGGGGGACCAUCCUCCAAGGCUAAAUACUCCUGACUGACCGAUAGUGAACCAGUACCGUGAGGGAAAGGCGAAAAGAACCCCGGCGAGGGGAGUGAAAAAGAACCUGAAACCGUGUACGUACAAGCAGUGGGAGCNNNNNNNNNNNNNNNNNNNNNNNNNNNNNNNNNNNNNNNNNNNNNNNNNNNNNGGCGUUAAGUUGCAGGGUAUAGACCCGAAACCCGGUGAUCUAGCCAUGGGCAGGUUGAAGGUUGGGUAACACUAACUGGAGGACCGAACCGACUAAUGUUGAAAAAUUAGCGGAUGACCUGUGGCUGGGGGUGAAAGGCCAAUCAAACCGGGAGAUAGCUGGUUCUCCCCGAAAGCUAUUUAGGUAGCGCCUCGUGAAUUCAUCUCCGGGGGUAGAGCACUGUUUCGGCUAGGGGGCCAUCCCGGCUUACCAACCCGAUGCAAACUGCGAAUACCGGAGAAUGUUAUCACGGGAGACACACGGCGGGUGCUAACGUCCGUCGUGAAGAGGGAAACAACCCAGACCGCCAGCUAAGGUCCCAAAGUCAUGGUUAAGUGGGAAACGAUGUGGGAAGGCCCAGACAGCCAGGAUGUUGGCUUAGAAGCAGCCAUCAUUUAAAGAAAGCGUAAUAGCUCACUGGUCGAGUCGGCCUGCGCGGAAGAUGUAACGGGGCUAAACCAUGCACCGAAGCUGCGGCAGCGACACUGUGUGUUGUUGGGUAGGGGAGCGUUCUGUAAGCCUGUGAAGGUGUGUCGUGAGGCAUGCUGGAGGUAUCAGAAGUGCGAAUGCUGACAUAAGUAACGAUAAAGCGGGUGAAAAGCCCGCUCGCCGGAAGACCAAGGGUUCCUGUCCAACGUUAAUCGGGGCAGGGUGAGUCGACCCCUAAGGCGAGGCCGAAAGGCGUAGUCGAUGGGAAACGGGUUAAUAUUCCCGUACUUGGUGUUACUGCGAAGGGGGGACGGAGAAGGCUAUGUUGGCCGGGCGACGGUUGUCCCGGUUUAAGCGUGUAGGUGUGUGUUCCAGGUAAAUCCGGUUCACUUUAACACUGAGGCGUGACGACGAGGCACUACGGUGCUGAAGCAACAAAUGCCCUGCUUCCAGGAAAAGCCUCUAAGCAUCAGGUAACAUCAAAUCGUACCCCAAACCGACACAGGUGGUCAGGUAGAGAAUACCAAGGCGCUUGAGAGAACUCGGGUGAAGGAACUAGGCAAAAUGGUGCCGUAACUUCGGGAGAAGGCACGCUGACACGUAGGUGAAGUGAUUUACUCAUGGAGCUGAAGUCAGUCGAAGAUACCAGCUGGCUGCAACUGUUUAUUAAAAACACAGCACUGUGCAAACACGAAAGUGGACGUAUACGGUGUGACGCCUGCCCGGUGCCGGAAGGUUAAUUGAUGGGGUCAGCGCAAGCGAAGCUCCUGAUCGAAGCCCCGGUAAACGGCGGCCGUAACUAUAACGGUCCUAAGGUAGCGAAAUUCCUUGUCGGGUAAGUUCCGACCUGCACGAAUGGCGUAAUGAUGGCCAGGCUGUCUCCACCCGAGACUCAGUGAAAUUGAACUCGCUGUGAAGAUGCAGUGUACCCGCGGCAAGACGGAAAGACCCCGUGAACCUUUACUAUAGCUUGACACUGAACAUUGAGCCUUGAUGUGUAGGAUAGGUGGGAGGCUUUGAAGUGUGGACGCCAGUCUGCAUGGAGCCGACCUUGAAAUACCACCCUUUAAUGUUUGAUGUUCUAACGUGGACCCGUUACCCGGGUUGCGGACAGUGUCUGGUGGGUAGUUUGACUGGGGCGGUCUCCUCCUAAAGAGUAACGGAGGAGCACGAAGGUUGGCUAAUCCUGGUCGGACAUCAGGAGGUUAGUGCAAUGGCAUAAGCCAGCUUGACUGCGAGCGUGACGGCGCGAGCAGGUGCGAAAGCAGGUCAUAGUGAUCCGGUGGUUCUGAAUGGAAGGGCCAUCGCUCAACGGAUAAAAGGUACUCCGGGGAUAACAGGCUGAUACCGCCCAAGAGUUCAUAUCGACGGCGGUGUUUGGCACCUCGAUGUCGGCUCAUCACAUCCUGGGGCUGAAGUAGGUCCCAAGGGUAUGGCUGUUCGCCAUUUAAAGUGGUACGCGAGCUGGGUUUAGAACGUCGUGAGACAGUUCGGUCCCUAUCUGCCGUGGGCGCUGGAGAACUGAGGGGGGCUGCUCCUAGUACGAGAGGACCGGAGUGGACGCAUCACUGGUGUUCGGGUUGUCAUGCCAAUGGCACUGCCCGGUAGCUAAAUGCGGAAGAGAUAAGUGCUGAAAGCAUCUAAGCACGAAACUUGCCCCGAGAUGAGUUCUCCCUGAGACUUAGAGUCUCCUGAAGGAACGUUGAAGACGACGACGUUGAUAGGCCGGGUGUGUAAGCGCAGCGAUGCGUUGAGCUAACCGGUACUAAUGAACCGUGAGGCUUAACCUUACAACGCCGAAG
rnacentral:rRNA from 1 species